UUCAAAAAAUCGAUUUUUUCAUAUUUCGAUAGGUUAUACCUUUAAAAAUAACAUAUUAGAAUUUCAAAUCGAUAUCUCAAUUAGUUUUUGAGUUACAGCCAUUUAAAGAGUAGUCGCUCGGCAGGUAGAAUAGGAUCAUUUUAUUUAGAGUACCUUUUUUAGA